GAGCAUCCAGUUCUCCUUACAGAAGCUCCUCUUAACCCCAAGGCCAAUCGUGAGAAAAUGACCCAGAUCAUGUUUGAGACCUUCAACACUCCUGCAAUGUAUGUCGCUAUCCAGGCUGUCCUUUCCCUCUAUGCCAGUGGUCGUACAACUGGUGAGUGAUAUGGUCCAUCCUCUAUUUGCUUUUAUGUUCAAACUGAUGAAUGGAAAAAAUAUUGUUAUUGGCUUGUUGCAUUGGAAGUUUUCGGAAUGAGGCGGAAUUUUAGUGAUUGGUUGAAAAAAUAAAUUUCAGGAAAGAAAUUUAUCUAUAUCAUGAUAAAAAAAUGGAAUGUCUUAGAUAACUUCUCAAACCUCAAUGUUUCUAGUUUGUAAGUUAACACGAUCUAUUUUUCACCCUUGGUCAUAAUCACAUUUGGUUUUGGGGAAUUUAUAUGAUAUAUACAGGGAUCAUGAUCAUGAAAACCAAAGAACUGUCUUUGACAAGCAUGUAGGUAAUCCAGCUUGGUGGUUUACAUUAGGGAUCUUUAAUUGUGGAGAAAAAUUAGGUGAAAUAACAUUUUUCAUGAUCUAUGUGUUUUGGCUAGGUAUUGUUCUGGACUCUGGAGAUGGUGUGAGUCACACGGUUCCCAUCUAUGAAGGCUAUGCCCUCCCACAUGCCAUUCUGCGUCUUGACCUGGCAGGUCGUGAUCUCACUGAUGCCCUCAUGAAAAUCUUGACUGAGCGUGGCUACUCUUUCACAACCACAGCAGAGCGUGAAAUUGUAAGGGACAUGAAGGAAAAACUAGC
rnacentral:lncRNA from 1 species